rnacentral:tRNA from 1 species
GCGGAUGUAGCUCAGUUGGUAGAGCAGGAGAUUUCCAAUCUUCAGGUCGUGGGUUCGAACCCCGUCAUCCGCUCCA